CAAAAACAUGUNUUUUUGAGUUAUUUUUAAAGUNUAACCUGCCCAAUGAAUAAAUUUUUAAUGGCCGCAGUAAUUUGACUGUGCAAAGGUAGCAUAAUAAUUAGUCUUUUAAUUGAAGGCUUGUAUGAAUGGUUGGACGAAGUAUAAUCUGUUUCAUUUAAAUUUAUUAUAGAAUUUUAUAUUUUAGUAAAAAAGCUAAAAUUUUUUUAAAAGACGAGAAGACCCUAUAAAUCUUUAUAAUCUAUUUUCAAUUUUUUUUUUUUGAUUUAUUUUAUUUUAAUAAUUUAGAUUAUUUUAUUGGGGUGAUAUUAAAAUUUAAAUAACUUUUAAUUUUUUUUUAACAUUAAUUUAUGAUUUAUUGAUCCAUUAAUAAUGAUUAUAAGAAUAAGUUACUUUAGGGAUAACAGCGUAAUUUUUUUGGAGAGUUCUUAUUGAUAAAAAAGUUUGCGACCUCGAUGUUGGAUUAAGAUAUAAUUUUAGGUGUAGUUGCUUAAAUAAUAAGUCUGUUCGACUUUUAAAUUCUUACAUGAUCUGAGUUCAAACCGGA
rnacentral:rRNA from 1 species